rnacentral:rRNA from 1 species
AGGCGGCUAUGGCGGCGGGGUUCCACCUCUUCCCAUUCCGAACAGAGAAGUUAAGCCCGCCUGCGCCGAUGGUACUGCAAUGCAAUGCGGGAGAGUAGGUGGCUGCCG